CCAUAGUUUUCUUCGCCACCCCCCUCUGUCGCCUCUCUCGCCUGAUUCCCCUCUGCCGCACCCCCUUUUGAAGCCGCGAUUCGACACCGCCUUUGCCGGAGCAACCGGAGCCAGCCGGUGCUUCCUCCUACGUACCCUACAGCGACACCUAGAAAAAUGAGGAAGAUGUCAUCCCGAAUGUGGUAGGGGACACGGAGGCAGAGUAGCUGAGGAGAUGAGGUCGAAUGCAUCACACACUGUCUAGAGGCUCUAGGAAGCUACUCGACGGUUUCAGACGACCAAAUGAGAUAUACAUGAUCGGCUAGUGAAUAAGUUAUGACUAACGGAGUCGGCAACUUUCAAGCGACCGAAGCGAGGUGCAAGCGACUUCCUCUAUGGUCCGGGUGAUCAGAGAAUGCUUCUAGGUGACUAAUGAUGACAUGAUUUAGCAGUCUAGAGGAUCCGGUCAAGAUAGAUAUUUGACUUCAGGAAUCCGAAGGGGUCCAAGCUUUAGAAGACUACAAAAAGUAUAUUCGAGGCAAUUAGAGGAACUUCCAGUCCACCUAAAUGGUGCCAAGUCAACCUCGAAUAUACUCUAUAAAAGGAAGCUCGAGAGAUUGCAUUUGGACAACACAAUUAUUCGUUUUGACAUUCUGUUUAUUGUGCUUCUAUUUUCUUAUGUCGACGUGAUGCCCGUGCGCUUCUCAAAG